GGCGAACGGGUGAGUAACACGUGAGUAAUCUGCCCUCCACUUCGGGAUAAGCCUCGGAAACGGGGUCUAAUACCGGAUAUGACCACUUCAUGCAUGUGAUGGUGGUGGAAAGUUUUUCGGUGGGGGAUGUGCUCGCGGCCUAUCAGCUUGUUGGUGGGGUAAUGGCCUACCAAGGCUUCGACGGGUAGCCGGCCUGAGAGGGUGACCGGCCACACUGGGACUGAGACACGGCCCAGACUCCUACGGGAGGCAGCAGUGGGGAAUAUUGGACAAUGGGCGGAAGCCUGAUCCAGCAACGCCGCGUGAGGGAUGACGGCCUUCGGGUUGUAAACCUCUUUCAGUGGGGACGAAGCGCAAGUGACGGUACCUACAGAAGAAGCACCGGCCAACUACGUGCCAGCAGCCGCGGUAAUACGUAGGGUGCGAGCGUUGUCCGGAAUUAUUGGGCGUAAAGGGCUCGUAGGCGGUUUGUCGCGUCGGGAGUGAAAACACUGGGCUUAACUCAGUGCUUGCUUCCGAUACGGGCAGACUAGAGGUAUUCAGGGGAGAACGGAAUUCCUGGUGUAGCGGUGAAAUGCGCAGAUAUCAGGAGGAACACCGGUGGCGAAGGCGGUUCUCUGGGAAUUACCUGACGCUGAGGAGCGAAAGUGUGGGGAGCGAACAGGAUUAGAUACCCUGGUAGUCCACACCGUAAACGUUGGGCGCUAGGUGUGGGGUCCAUUCCACGGAUUCCGUGCCGCAGCUAACGCAUUAAGCGCCCCGCCUGGGGAGUACGGCCGCAAGGCUAAAA
rnacentral:rRNA from 1 species